rfam:Paraburkholderia caribensis strain Bcrs1W chromosome 3, complete sequence.
UGUCUCCUCCAUGUCUCCUCCUGAUAUGGAUUCAGCCCACCGCUUGGUGGGCUUUUCUUU